ACAGGGACCUGAUGAGAAGGAAAUCUUGUUAAGUCAGAUUAGUACAUUAGUACGACUCCAUCAGUCCCAAAAAACCCCUGUUGCAUUCUUUGGUACGCGGAUUUACUAAAGGCAACCCAUAGGCGGUCUACGUGUUCUGUAAGGUACGACCGCAGAACAUCCUCUACGCGUGUGCAUCGCAGGAUCCCGAGUAACAACGUAAAAAGGACAACAUCCGGAUCACCAGGAGGAGUAGCCGUAUCAAGUUAGCAAUGAUUUUCUUAUUUUUAAUGCUUCUGCCAUUAGCAUUGGCAAAUAUGGAAAUCACUAUUACACCGACGCUCAAACCGUCUCAGUGUACAAAGGAUUAGGGAAACUACAAAUAUCAUCAACUAAAUUAAUCCAUCUAAUAGACCUAGAACAGCUAGAAACAGAAUUGUACAAAAUACGAGAACACACAAUUAAUGACUUAAAAGAAAGCUACCUCUACCAUACACUAACACACGAAAUAGUUCAGGCAUUUACCGCAUUAAGUACUCUGACCUCAAAAUAUCGCAAAGCUCGAUCAAUCAAUUGGAUUGGUUCCGCUUGGAAAUUUGUGGCAGGAAAUCCGGAUCAUGACGACUUAUAGAAACGAAUGAAAUAUUCAUAGCGCAAAAAGAAAUCAUUAAUGUACCCAAAAACUGUAAAAUAUCCAAUUACUUAAAAAUAUGUAAAAAAGAAAACACUGUAAAUCUAAAACAAACAAAAUGUAUUGCUAAGUUAAUUGAGGGAAAGGAAGCGCUGUGUGACUUCAGUAAUGCAGAACAUAUUCAGGAAAUAGAGGAGAUCGAUGGCAGCUUAAUAUUACUUAACAACUACACCGGCAACUUAAUACACAACAACAUAACUUACAAUCUAAAAGGAACAUACCUGGUUCAUUUCUGGAACGAUACCGUUCAAAUAAAUAGCAAGCAAUUCAACAAUAAAGAAAAAUCUAUCCUAAAACCCGGAACACCAAUAAUUCAAAUGUCACCCAUAGAAGUGGAGAGGUUAAAAAUUUUGUCAUUGGAAUCACUGGAGGCCCUCAACAUCAAAAACACAAAGCACUUAAAUAACGUAACAACACACUCUACCAUAAACCGCAUCGCGAUCUUGUGCUUACUGGGCACCGUCAUACUUCUUAUAAUAAUCUCCAAAAUCCACUUUAAGCCCAGAGAGAAAGUAACCAUUCAAAUUCAACAAGAGCCUCCCACGCUUAAUAGUAAACUUAGGCCAAGGCCGAUACAGCCCGAAUUCAACAAUAUUCCCUAUUUCUAACACCCAUUUGAGGACAAGUAGGAUCCUGAGGGGGGAGAGUUAACAACAGAAACUUUUGUUACUCCUCUCGACGUCCGAUACAAUGAACCCUUAGUACUUUUCCUGCAAGAAUUGUGCAACAAAGUAUUCUAAGAAAAACAAGAGUUCAAAAAUCCUAAAUCAACAAUAUUAUAAACAUCCGCCGCGACGAACCCACGCAACACCGAAAUUGCAGAGAUUGCAAUUCGAUCCAGUUCAAUCGAGUUCAAACCACUCCAAUGCUCCGCCUAGCUGACGAUCACGCCAUCAGCGACGAUGCCAACGUUCUGCCGACGCCUCUGCCAGACACCCACAGCUUACUUAGGGCUUACUCUAAUUCUGAAUGUUUAGUUCUUAAUUUGAAUCCGAAAUAAAAGGUCAACCUCGCAAA